rnacentral:rRNA from 1 species
UACGUAGGGCGCAAGCGUUGUCCGGAAUUAUUGGGCGUAAAGAGCUCGUAGGCGGUCUGUCGCGUCCGUUGUGAAACACGAGGCUCAACCUCGGGCUUGCAGUGGAUACGGGCAGACUUGAGGCAUUCAGGGGAGAACGGAAUUCCUGGUGUAGCGGUGAAAUGCGUAGAGAUCGGGAAGAACAUCAGUGGCGAAGGCGGCCUGCUGGGCUGUUGCUGACGCUGAGGCGCGACAGCGUGGGGAGCAAACAGG